GCUCCCUUCGUCUAGAGGCCCAGGAUCGGGGAUUCUCAGUCCCCUGACAGGGGUUCGAAUCCCCUAGGGAGUAC
rnacentral:tRNA from 1 species